UGGGGAAUAUUGGACAAUGGGGGCAACCCUGAUCCAGCAAUGCCGCGUGUGUGAAGAAGGCCUGCGGGUUGUAAAGCACUUUUGGCAGGGAUGAAAAGCACUGGAUUAAUAACCCAGUGUGUUGACCUAACCUGCAGAAGAAGCACCGGCUAACUCUGUGCCAGCAGCCGCGGUAAUACAGGGGGUGCGAGCGUUAAUCGGAAUUACUGGGCGUAAAGCGUGCGCAGGCGGCUCCUUAAGUCAGAUGUGAAAUCCCCGGGCUUAACCUGGGAACUGCGUUUGAAACUGAGGGGCUAGAGUGUGGAAGAGGGGGGCGGAAUUCCAGGUGUAGCAGUGAAAUGCGUAGAGAUCUGGAGGAACACCGAUGGCGAAGGCAGCCCCCUGGGCUAACACUGACGCUCAUGCACGAAAGCGUGGGGAGCAAACAGGAUUAGAUACCCAAGUAGUCCCUGAGCGGGCUGGCAAGGCGCAU
rnacentral:rRNA from 1 species